GGAAAAUUGGUGGAUUUCAAGGAAUUAAGCAAGUAAAGGUGGUGAGUCUUCUAACAAGGGUAAAGACAUUGUGCCAGAGGACCAAGAGUAGGAGUAUUUCGAACUCCCGAUAUCGCUGGUAAUAUUAUAUUAGCCAUGUUAUGCUGUCGAAAUUUUAU